UUUAUGUACUACCUGCAGUUUUAUUGAUCUGUAGAGGGAGAUAAGAGUCAAUACAGAAUUCUCAGCUAACACUUAGAGGUACUUUUCUUUUUUAUUUCUCAUGCAGCUAAAAACAGGUAUUUCUAAGGCGAACGGUCCCAGUGUGGCCUACACUGAGGUCUGACAUUAGCUAUUCCUAAUGUCAGAUUCAGCCCUGGAACGGUGAAUGUAGGUAGCAUCUUUGAAUUAGGAAUGCUUUGCUUCGUGGGGCCUGCGUAUUGAAUCUUUGUCCAGUGGAUAGCAGUCACCAAACCGGAUUCCUGCAGGCUCAGUAGGGUGAACAUGUGAUUUGUCAUCCAGACUGGGAUACUUCUGAGAAUGGCAGAGGAGCUACUGUCAGAACGACACUAAGGUUUUGGAGCAGCCAGUAGUCGUGCAAAGUGUGGGCACUGAUGGACGUGUCUUCCAGUUCCUGGUGCUACAGCUGAACACCACAGAUCUGGCCUCUGAUGAGGGUGUCAAGAAUCUAGUCUGGGUAGACUCGGAUCAGCUCCUCUAUGAGCAUUUUUGGUGUCUCCCGGUGGUCAGAAGGAAGGCAGUUGUGGAACCUGUUGGGCCGACUGGUUUCCAGCCAGAGACAUUCAGGAAGUUUUUAGCUCUGUAUUUGCAUGGUGCUGUGUGAGCCAAGGACCGUUCUGAGGCCUGGAGCUCCCUGUGCCCCCUCUCCCUGAGGAUCCUGGGGCCUGGGUGGUGCCUGGGGCCUGCUCGGAGCCCAGUGCUCCUUUGGCUGGUGGUCUCACUGACAAUAAAGAGCCCUUCCGGUGCA